UAGGGAAUCUUCCGCAAUGGGCGAAAGCCUGCCGGAGCAACGCCGCGUGAGUGAUGAAGGUCUUCGGAUCGUAAAACUCUGUUAUUAGGGAAGAACAAAUGUGUAAGUAACUAUGCACGUCUUGACGGUACCUAAUCAGAAAGCCACGGCUAACUACGUGCCAGCAGCCGCGGUAAUACGUAGGUGGCAAGCGUUAUCCGGAAUUAUUGGGCGUAAAGCGCGCGUAGGCGGUUUUUUAAGUCUGAUGUGAAAGCCCACGGCUCAACCGUGGAGGGUCAUUGGAAACUGGACAACUUGAGUGCAGAAGAGGAAAGUGGAAUUCCAUGUGUAGCGGUGAAAUGCGAAGAGAUAUGGAGGAACACCAGUGGCGAAGGCGACUUUAUGGUCUGUAACUGACGCUGAUGUGCGAAAGCGUGGGGAUCAAACAGG
rnacentral:rRNA from 1 species